rnacentral:rRNA from 1 species
AUGGUAACAAGAAUGUUUUCUCUGCUCUCACCCAAAGAUCCACAAUUUCAUCAACUCAAACAAGACUCGGAAAAAAAUGGGGAAAUCGGGGAAACUUUACAGUUAUGUCAACUCAGAUCCAGAAGGAUUAAAAUUCUUUGCAGUUUUCUUCGAGAGGUUGGAGUUGAUGGAAAUGUUCCUACGAAACGUAGUGCCGAUCCACAAUUUUGGUAUGAUUUUUUUAGGAAAUUGUGUAGGGAUUGCAGUUGUCAAAAAUCCUCCGAAGCAAAUGGGGCCAGCGCCCCUUGCUCUGCUUUAGUGGUUGUUUUCUUGAGAGCAUUUCCGCAUUUCUUCAUCGGUCUUUUUCUUGGGAUCGGAAUUCAGGAAUUGGUUCUUGUCAAAAAAGACGUGGAUCGAUUUGAUCUGUCAAAAAGAGAUGACGAAACAAUAAAUCACUGGUUGGAAUUGGUUCUGUCAAAAAGAUGUGGAUCGAUUUGA